UCUCUGCCCCUCUUGCACUCGCUGACUCUCAAAAUAAAUAAAAUAAACUUUAAAAAGACAACAAAAAUAGACUCAAUGCCAUCAUCUCAUAUGAGGAAACAUUGAAAGUAUCCCCUUAAGAAUUGAGGACUAGGACUAAGAUGCCUGUCAUCGCUACUUUUCUACAUGGAUAGGGAUUAAAGAAGGAAACAAAAUGCUUACUUGCAGAUGAUGAUUGUCUAUCUGAAGAACUCAAAAGACUACAAUUUAGUAGCAAUCAUAGUUUACCCAAGAUGCUUGUUGUAAGUCAAGUGACAUAUGCACCAUCAUCAAACAACUGGAAUACAUAAUAUUUUUAAAGCACAACUUUUAUGAUAGCAACAAAACCAAGUUAUCUUGCACAAAAGAUGUGCAAGACCUGUAAAAAAAUAGUUUUUCAAAGAAAGAUGGUAAAUUUAAACCCAAGUAAAUCUGUAAUUAUGUUAAAUGUAGUGUACUUAAGAUCUGUUUCAUUUGCUGUAUGUAAAGUAUACCUCAAUAAAAAAAAAAAACAUAGACUAAAAAAACAAAACUCAGAGACAUUAAAGAAGACCUAAGUAAAUAUAGACAUAUCUUUUGAAGUGAUGUCAGUUCUCAAAAAUCCUCUGCAGAUUUAAUGCAACUCUGGUUAGAAUCCCAACAAUUUUUUUGUGGAACUUCAUAAGCUCAUUCUAAAAUUUAUGUAGAAGAGCAAAAAGUAAAGGAUAGAGAAAUUCCUGAAGAACAAAGAGGAGAGGGAAUUUGCCCUACAAGAUAACAAGAAUUAUAAAGGUGUAGCAUUUACUGAGGUACUGGUACAUAUUACAAAUGGAACAAUAAAAGAGCCAAGAAACAGACUUAAAUAUACUGAAAUUUUAAUUUACAGAAAGAACAACAUAAUAAUUCAGUGGAGAAAGAAAACAUGUUUUCUCAGUAGAAGUAGGAAAAUUGUGUGCCCAUGUGGAAAUGAAAAAAGAAACUCAAUUUCUUUCUCAUAGUGGACACAAAUAUUUCAAAUGAAGUAAAACAUAAAUGUCAGAAGUAAAACUUUAAAACACUGAAAAUAUGUGUAUAGGAAAACACAAAAAUGUAAGAAAAAUUGACAAGUUUAACAAUCAGAAAGUUAGGAACUUUUUAUCAAAAGACAUCAAAGUGAAAAGACCGGGCACAAAGUGGAAGCCUAUUUACAUCACAUGGAACAGAGAAAGAAUAAUAGCCACCACAUUAAAAAUUCCUAGAGCUCAGGAAGGAAACAGUCAAAAAGUUCAAAAUAUAUGAACAGACAUUUCACAUGGACAAUGAACAUGCCCACUCUAAACAGUAAUCAGAAACUGCAAAUCAAGACUUUGAGAUAUAAUUUGAACACAUUCAAUUGAUAAAAAUUUUAAAUUUUGACCUUAUUGAGUGGUGGAGAUGGAGUGGGACAAUGAGAUGCCAAUAAAUUACUGUGAGGAGUAUAGAGAAAUACAACCACUUGUGAAAAAUAAUUUGGUGUUAUCUUGUAAAGUUGGGCAUCUGCCUACGUUGGUACCUAGCAAUUCCACCUAAGUAGUGUAUCCUGAAGAAAUUCUUUAUUCAUAUGUACCAAGGGUCCAUGAACAAGAAUGUUCAUAGCACUGUUUGUAAUACCAAAAACUGGAAACAACCCAAAUGUUCAUCAAUGGAAGAGAAUGGUUUAAUAAAAUAUUUUAUAUUUUAUAAUAAGCAAUGUAUACUUAUACCACGAAAUAUUAUACAGCCAUGAAAAUCAACUGCAGCUGUGGAGAACAGUACAAAAGAACAAAAUAUAUGAAAGAAGCUAAUCAAAGAAGACUAUAUGCAGCAUGAUCUCAUUUUUAAAAGUUUAAGCCAAACCAAACACAAAGCUCCUAUUGAAAUAGUGGAUCUUAGCAACAAUGUAUGAACUUUGAUCCUAAUUUGGGAAGGAAAAUGAUAAUUUUGAGACCAAAUGAGGAGCCAUAAGUAUGGACUGCAUAUCAUGAUAAUUGGAAUGAGAGCACAGGCCUUGCCUUGUUCAACACUAUAUGCCCAGCAUGCAAAAAUACUUCCAGAUACUACUGGUUGGUGUAUACUGUUUGUGGAAUGAAUGAGUUAAAUGUGGAACUGAAAAAGCCAUAGAGCUAGAAGGAACCAACAGAGGGAGUAAGAACAUGCCAGAGAAAUCUCUGACAGAGCAACCAGAUCUCUGCUUAAAAACCUGCAGUGAAGUAUUCAACAUGACUGACAUGUCUUCAUCUGAGAGCUUCAGGUGAGUUCUCCCUCCUAGACCUGCCUUUUGGAACAAUGUAGAACAAGCUAGGCUUUCCAAUAUCUCUAAAGGCACUGGGCCCAGUUCUUUUGUGGUUUCGUCACCUGUGUCCGUUUGAAACAAAUUACCUCUUGGCAGAAUCUUAAAUUCAACAAAAUGCCACUUCUGUUUUCUUCCUCUUAAGUACCUUGCCUUCCAGUCAUCUUCCUUCUUUCUCAGAUGUCUGAAAACAUUGAUCAUUUCCAAUAGUGGCUGUGCCAGCCACACGCUGUUGCAGAUCACAGACAGUGCUUGAGAAUUGUUCUGAUAAUGUGCAGAGGAAAAGAAAAGCUCUGUGGUCACUUUUUCCCUCUUCC